UGUGUCCAGUGUGUGUCUGUGUAUGUGUGUGUGUGUCCAGUGUGUGUGUGUACUGUACACACACACAUUGGACACACACACACACACACACACACACACACACUGGACACACACAA